CGGGCUGAAGACUCUACUUGACUAGCUGAGAGGAGGUGCAUGGCCGUCGUCAGUUCGUACUGUGAAGCAUCCUGUUAAGUCAGGCAACGAGCGAGACCCACGCCAACAGUUGCUAGCUCGUCCUCCGGGGAUGGAGAGGGACACUGUUGGGACCGCCUCUGCUAAAGAGGAGGAAGGAAUGGGCAACGGUAGGUCAGCAUGCCCCGAAUUACCUGGGCUACACGCGGGCUACAAUGGGUGGGACAAUGGGUAUCGACACCGAAAGGUGAAGGCAAUCUCCUAAACCCAUCCGUAGUUCGGAUUGUGGGUUGCAACUCACCCACAUGAAGCUGGAAUCUGUAGUAAUCGUGUCUCAAAAUGGCACGGUGAAUAUGUCCCUGCUCCUU
rnacentral:rRNA from 1 species